UAUAGUGUGGUGUAUGGUGCACACAGGUCUUUGAAUCCUGAAGAUUUAGUUCAACUCUCUUUACUAUAA
rnacentral:tRNA from 1 species